rnacentral:rRNA from 1 species
GACAGAGGGUGCAAACGUUGCUCGGAAUCAUUGGGCGUAAAGAGCUCGUAGGCGGUUUGUCGCGUCUGCCGUGAAAGUCCGGGGCUCAACUCCGGAUCUGCGGUGGGUACGGGCAGACUAGAGUGAUGUAGGGGAGACUGGAAUUCCUGGUGUAGCGGUGAAAUGCGCAGAUAUCAGGAGGAACACCGAUGGCGAAGGCAGGUCUCUGGGCCGUAACUGACGCUGAGGAGCGAAAGCGUGGGGAGCGAACAGG